AUGAACGCUAGCGACAGGCUUAACACAUGCAAGUCGAGGGGCAGCAUGAUUUGUAGCAAUACAGAUUGAUGGCGACCGGCGCACGGGUGAGUAACGCGUAUGCAACUUACCUAUCAGAGGGGGAUAGCCCGGCGAAAGUCGGAUUAAUACCCCAUAAAACAGGGGUCCCGCAUGGGAAUAUUUGUUAAAGAUUCAUCGCUGAUAGAUAGGCAUGCGUUCCAUUAGGCAGUUGGCGGGGUAACGGCCCACCAAACCGACGAUGGAUAGGGGUUCUGAGAGGAAGGUCCCCCACAUUGGUACUGAGACACGGACCAAACUCCUACGGGAGGCAGCAGUGAGGAAUAUUGGUCAAUGGCCGAGAGGCUGAACCAGCCAAGUCGCGUGAAGGAAGAAGGAUCUAUGGUUUGUAAACUUCUUUUAUAGGGGAAUAAAGUGGAGGACGUGUCCUUUUUUGUAUGUACCCUAUGAAUAAGCAUCGGCUAACUCCGUGCCAGCAGCCGCGGUAAUACGGAGGAUGCGAGCGUUAUCCGGAUUUAUUGGGUUUAAAGGGUGCGUAGGUGGUGAUUUAAGUCAGCGGUGAAAGUUUGUGGCUCAACCAUAAAAUUGCCGUUGAAACUGGGUUACUUGAGUGUGUUUGAGGUAGGCGGAAUGCGUGGUGUAGCGGUGAAAUGCAUAGAUAUCACGCAGAACUCCGAUUGCGAAGGCAGCUUACUAAACCAUAACUGACACUGAAGCACGAAAGCGUGGGGAUCAAACAGGAUUAGAUACCCUGGUAGUCCACGCAGUAAACGAUGAUUACUAGGAGUUUGCGAUACAAUGUAAGCUCUACAGCGAAAGCGUUAAGUAAUCCACCUGGGGAGUACGCCGGCAACGGUGAAACUCAAAGGAAUUGACGGGGGCCCGCACAAGCGGAGGAACAUGUGGUUUAAUUCGAUGAUACGCGAGGAACCUUACCCGGGUUUGAACGUAGUCUGACCGGAGUGGAAACACUCUUUCUAGCAAUAGCAGAUUACGAGGUGCUGCAUGGUUGUCGUCAGCUCGUGUCGUGAGAUGUUGGGUUAAGUCCCGCAACGAGCGCAACCCUUAUCCUUUGUUGCCAGCGGUUAGGCCGGGAACUCAAAGGAGACUGCCAGUGAUAAACUGGAGGAAGGUGGGGAUGACGUCAAAUCAGCACGGCCCUUACGUCCGGGGCGACACACGUGUUACAAUGGCAGGGACAGAGGGAAGCCACCGGGCGACCGGGCGCGGACCCCGAAACCCUGUCUCAGUUCGGAUCGGAGUCUGCAACUCGACUCCGUGAAGCUGGAUUCGCUAGUAAUCGCGCAUCAGCCAUGGCGCGGUGAAUACGUUCCCGGGCCUUGUACACACCGCCCGUCACACCAUGGGAGCCGGUAAUACCCGAAGUCAGUAGUCUAACCGCAAGGAGGACGCUGCCGAAGGUAGGAUUGGCGACUGGGGUG
rnacentral:rRNA from 1 species